rnacentral:lncRNA from 1 species
CGCAUUUCCCGGCCGGCAGCGCUCAGUCUUGCGGGCACGGAGCUCCCCGAGCGGCUGCUGAGGCUGCCGGGGACCCCGGAGGUGCCGCACGCCGGGUCUGGGGAGGCUCCUCUGGCAGCACAAGGGAAGGGACGCGGACUGGAUCCGCCGCCCCGAGCCUCCGGGCAGCCCCCGGCCGGCGCCACUUCCGCCGGGGCGGGCGGAGCCCCCGCCUCAUCCCGCGCCCCGCCCGCCGCCUGCGCCCGCCCCCAGCCGGGCCGGGAGCCGCAGGGACGGGGGGAUAAGAGCUCGGUAGCCGGAGGCACCGGAGUGGGCCGGGGCUGCCGUGCUGAGCGGGAUGCGCUGCCGCAGCUGCCCCGCUUCACUCAUGCCAGGGGCUUCGUCGGCUCCAGUCGCGUCUGCCCUCCGGAGCCCGCAGCUUCAGUCUGAGCGCUCGUCCCGGGGCGUGCAGCACCUCUGCAUGUGUUUCAUUGGGACCUUUGUUGUUUUCGACGGAGCUCAAUCAAGCAUUACAUCAUUCCAACCGGAAUCUCACCUCCUUGCUUGCUGUUAUGCUGUGUGGCUUACCUGGUGGUGGGGAGAGAAAAGGAGAGGGAGAAAACAAUGCUGCAUGUUAGGAAAUAUGAGACAAAUUCAAAUGCCCAAUGGAUGA